rnacentral:rRNA from 1 species
UACGGAGGGGGCUAGCGUUGUUCGGAAUUACUGGGCGUAAAGCGCACGUAGGCGGAUUUUUAAGUCAGGGGUGAAAUCCCGGGGCUCAACCCCGGAACUGCCUUUGAUACUGGAAGUCUUGAGUAUGGUAGAGGUGAGUGGAAUUCCGAGUGUAGAGGUGAAAUUCGUAGAUAUUCGGAGGAACACCAGUGGCGAAGGCGGCUCACUGGACCAUUACUGACGCUGAGGUGCGAAAGCGUGGGGAGCAAACAGG